ensembl:snRNA U6 U6 spliceosomal RNA
GCUCGCUUUGGCAGAUCACCUACUAAAAUUGGAACCAUACGGAGAUUAGCAUGGCCUCUGUGCAAGGAUGACAUGAGAAGCAUUCCAUUUAAAAAUUUAA